GACGAACGCUGGCGGCGUGCUUAACACAUGCAAGUCGAACGAAAAGAGGGAAAGAGCUUGCUCUUUCCGGAAUUGAGUGGCAAACGGGUGAGUAACACGUAAACAACCUGCCUUCAGGAUGGGGACAACAGACGGAAACGACUGCUAAUACCGAAUAAGUUCCAAGAGCCGCAUGGCCCAUGGAAGAAAAGGUGGCCUCUACCUGUAAGCUAUCGCCUGAAGAGGGGUUUGCGUCUGAUUAGCUGGUUGGAGGGGUAACGGCCCACCAAGGCGACGAUCAGUAGCCAGUCUGAGAGGAUGAACGGCCACACUGGAACUGAGACACGGUCCAGACUCCUACGGGAGGCAGCAGUGGGGAAUCUUCCGCAAUGGGCGAAAGCCUGACGGAGCAACGCCGCGUGAGUGAUGACGGCCUUCGGGUUGUAAAACUCUGUGAUCCGGGACGAAAAGGCAGAGUGCGAAGAACAAACUGCAUUGACGGUACCGGAAAAGCAAGCCACGGCUAACUACGUG
rnacentral:rRNA from 1 species